GUGCUCGCUUCAGCAGCACAUAUACUAAAACUGGAACGAUACAGAGAAGAUUAGCAUGGCCCUUGCGCAAUGAUGACACGCAA
rnacentral:snRNA from 1 species